UACGAAGGGGGCUAGCGUUGUUCGGAAUUACUGGGCGUAAAGCGUGCGCAGGCGGCUUCUCAAGUCAGGGGUGAAAGCCCAGAGCUCAACUCUGGAAUUGCCUUUGAGACUGAGUGGCUUGAGUACGAGAGAGGUGAGUGGAAUUCCCAGUGUAGAGGUGAAAUUCGUAGAUAUUGGGAAGAACACCGGUGGCGAAGGCGGCAUCCUGGACCGGCAUUGACGCUGAUGAGCGAAAGCUAGGGGAGCAAACGGG
rnacentral:rRNA from 1 species